rnacentral:rRNA from 1 species
UACGUAGGUGGCGAGCGUUAUCCGGAUUUACUGGGUGUAAAGGGUGUGUAGGCGGGAUUGCAAGUCAGAUGUGAAAAUUAUGGGCUCAACUCAUAACCUGCAUUUGAAACUGUGAUUCUUGAGGGUCGGAGAGGUAACCGGAAUUCCUGGUGUAGCGGUGAAAUGCGUAGAUAUCAGGAGGAACACCGGUGGCGAAGGCGGGUUACUGGACGAUUACUGACGCUGAGACACGAAAGCGUGGGGAGCAAAC